AUACGUAGGGUGCAAGCGUUAAUCGGAAUUACUGGGCGUAAAGCGUGCGCAGGCGGUUUUGUAAGACAGAGGUGAAAUCCCCGGGCUCAACCUGGGAACUGCCUUUGUUACUGCAAGGCUAGAGGACGGCAGAGGGGGAUGGAAUUCACCGUGUAGCAGUGAAAUGCGUGGAUAUGCGGAGGAACACCGAUGGCGAAGGCAAUCCCCUGGGCCUGUACUGACGCUCAUGCACGAAAGCGUGGGGAGCAAACAGGAUUAGAUACCCUGUUAGUCCACGCCCGAAACGAUGUCAACUGGUUGUUGGGUCUUCAUUGACUCAGUAACGAAGCUAACGCGUGAAGUUGACCGCCUGGGGAGUACGGCCGCAAGGUUGAAACUCAAAGGAAUUGACGGGG
rnacentral:rRNA from 1 species